rnacentral:rRNA from 1 species
UACGAAGGGGGCUAGCGUUGUUCGGAAUUACUGGGCGUAAAGCGCACGUAGGCGGGUUGUUAAGUCGGGGGUGAAAUCCUGGAGCUCAACUCCAGAACUGCCUUCGAUACUGGCGAUCUAGAGUCCGGAAGAGGUGAGUGGAACUCCUAGUGUAGAGGUGGAAUUCGUAGAUAUUAGGAAGAACACCAGUGGCGAAGGCGGCUCACUGGUCCGGUACUGACGCUGAGGUGCGAAAGCGUGGGGGAGCAAACAGGG